UAAAAUACCAACACUGUUCUUAAACCCACUGGAGAACUAUGAUCACUAGAGCAAAUCAAGGAUGUAGUCAAAACGCUGUGCCUUUCUGAAGUUGACAUUUCUUUUCCAAACUGGAAGAGCUGUACCUCCUUCUCUAAAGGCGUCUUCACAAAAUGAAUAUUAGAGCCGCUCAAACUUUCCAUGGAAGGACACUCUUAAGCUUCCUCUUGAAUGCAUCGCUAUGGCUAGGAUGACGUUGUAUGGUGGACUCACAAACAAGACCCUUUUGUGGACUUUCAAAGUAAAGCCAGAUGUUAUUUGCUGCUUCCACAGAGACUAAAUGAGGUUUCAGCUUUAUUGAGGUAUAAAUGGUCUACAGAAAACCGUACAUAAUUAAUGUAUACAAUUUGGUGAGUUUGGAAAGAUGAAUAUAUUUGUGUUACCAUCACCACAGUCCAGGUCAUCUUUGGGAGUGAGACAAAUGAAUCAAAUUUUCAAUAUGAUCUUCAGACAUCUUAAUGUGACAGUGACUGAAGAAACUGCUCAUGUCAGUAAGUGACACAUUUCUUCCUAUUCCAGAUAAAAUAUUGUGUUGAAGUAACCAUUCUUUUGAAUUAAUUCAAAAUCCAUUCCUGGACCAUUGGGCUCCUUUCAAACCUCUCAGCCUCAGUACUAUUUCUUUAACUGUGGCAUCUGGAAGGGACUAUUGGAGAACUUGGUGUGGUGGCCAGAAAGGGAAGGAACAGGAGGGAGAGACAACUUGAGAUAUGAAUUGAGAAAAGAUCAAGUGGCCAAAGAGAUACAUUAAUCUGCAAAGGAAUUUUUGCUUGGGACAGAGAACAUUAGAUUUGGUCCA